AAUCCAUAGGUUAAUGAGGCGAACCGGGGGAACUGAAACAUCUAAGUACCCCGAGGAAAAGAAAUCAACCGAGAUUCCCCCAGUAGCGGCGAGCGAACGGGGAGGAGCCCAGAGCCUGAAUCAGCAUGUGUGUUAGUGGAAGCGUCUGGAAAGGCGCGCGAUACAGGGUGACAGCCCCGUACACAAAAGCGCAUGUGCUGUGAGCUCGAUGAGUAGGGCGGGACACGUGGUAUCCUGUCUGAAUAUGGGGGGACCAUCCUCCAAGGCUAAAUACUCCUGACUGACCGAUAGUGAACCAGUACCGUGAGGGAAAGGCGAAAAGAACCCCGGCGAGGGGAGUGAAAAAGAACCUGAAACCGUGUACGUACAAGCAGUGGGAGCACCCUUUGGGGUGUGACUGCGUACCUUUUGUAUAAUGGGUCAGCGACUUAUAUUCUGUAGCAAGGUUAACCGUAUAGGGGAGCCGGAGGGAAACCGAGUCUUAAU
rnacentral:rRNA from 3 species